GUCACAUGGUGGUAAGCCUUGCUCCAUCUUCUCGGCUUAUGCUAUGGCCCACAAGGGUAAGGCGACGUCCGACAUCACUUACAACCCAGAUGACGGACCCGAGGCGUAUAGCAACCCCGCCGUCUACAGCCGCCUAAGUGAGUAUACUACCAUGGCUCAGGAGGUCCAUUGGCCAGAUUACGAUCUGAGGACCGAGGAAAUCGACGGAGAUGUCCUCAUGAGGGUCGAAGGAGGCAAGAGGUAUGGGUGGUACUGGAUUGUCGACAGGGCAAUCGACUCGUUAUCCACUCCCACUCUAUCUCAGGUGCGAGCAAGGAGCACGAGCUCGAGCCCAGCCAUAUGACCUUGGUAGGAUAGCUCACAUCAUCUCAUACAACAACUCGAGACCCGGCUAGAAGAAGAGAGGAGGGAACGUCAGGAGAUGGAGGCGAGGAUGAUAGUAGAGCGGGAGGCCCGCUUGGCAAAUAAGCAGAGGACAACGGAGAUGUUCCAGUACAUGCAGAGCCUUGGCGCCGCACAUGGUUUUGCUCCACCACCUCCGUUGUUCCCUCAAGUUGACCUUGCUCAAUUCCAUACUCCCGUACAAUCUAGGGCGGCAUCCAACAACCCUCAUGGAUCGCCUAGCCCAUCGCCGCACCAGUCCAGCCGCCCACCUCGAUGAGAUAUUAUCUUUGUUGGUGUUGUUAAUACUUUGUGAGAUAACCCGGUCUGAAUUUGUUUGAUGUUGGUGAUGCUUUGUGAGAUACUUGAGACUUAUGUUCUUGAGUGUUUGAUACUUAUGUUUGUGUUCGAACAUGUUGGUAAUCCUUUGUGAGAAUUUGUUUUAUUUAUGGUCUUUGUGAGAUAUGUGAUGUAUAUGUGAUACAUGUGAUGAUUA